CCCUUAGAUGUUCUGGGCCGCACGCGUGCUACACUGAGUGGAUCAGCGGGUCGGGUUGCGCGAAAGUGUUUCCUAAUCUUUAAAUCCGCUCGUGAUGGGGAUUGACGGUUGCAAUUUUCCGUCAUGAACGAGGAAUACCUUGUAAGCGCGGGUCAUCAUCCCGCGCUGAAUACGUCCCUGCCCUUUGUACACACCGCCCGUCGCUCCUACCGAUUGAGUGGUCCGGUGAGGCUUUGGGAUCUGAGCGGAAAGAGCGUUUCGCUGUUUCUGCCCGGAAAACUCAGUCGAACCUUAUCAUUUAGAGGAAGGAGAAGUCGUAACA
rnacentral:rRNA from 1 species